rnacentral:piRNA from 1 species
CAGGCCGACUCGUCCCUUGUGGGGCAGC